CAAACAUAAGUGAUGUUUUAAGAAAAGGAAGCUAAAAGGCCUUUAGCAUCAGAAGGAUAUUGGAUGUUAUGAAUGUGAAUUAUAGGUCUACUGACCCUUCCCAAUCCCAUAUAAAAGCACCCUCAGUACAAGACUCUACAUCCAGUUUCAUUCAUCGACCCUUGAUCAACGCCUUCAGAGAGACUGAUCGGCAGCCAACUCAAGAUGUCUCUGACUCCCCUGGAAUCAGCCUUGCAAACUCUUGCCAGCGUUAUCAACCAAUACAAGGUGGAAGGAACGAAUCCUCCUGGGCUUAUCAAGGAAGAACUGGAGACACAAACCAAUGAGCAGCGCCUAUACAGGCUACUGAGCACUGAAGAUGUACCGGUAGAAGUACUUAUGACAUUGUCUGGGCAAAAGAGACUGUUGCUGGCACUCCAACUGUUAGAUGAACGCUCCUUGAGGAACUGAAUUAGCAACAAGGAGAAGACAGCGAGAGGGGGUUACUAAGGGAUCUCCACUAACGUAUACCAGAAUUGUUGGGAAACUCCUUUCAAUAAACAGACAAA